ensembl:lncRNA
CAGGGGGGUAUAGCUACAGAGUCAAUGUGGAGACUAUAUACAGGGGGGUACCGCUACAGAGUCCAUGUGGAGACUAUAUACAGGGGGGUACCGCUACAGAGUCCAUGUGGAGACUAUAUACAGGGGGGUACCGCUACAGAGUUCAUGUGGAGACUAUAUACAGGGGGGGGUACCAUACAGAGUCCAUGUGGAGACUAUAUACAGGGGGGUACCGCUACAGAGUUCAUGUGGAGACUAUGUACAGGGGGGUACCGCUACAGACUCAAUGUGCGGGGGCACCAGUAAGUUGAGGUAAUAUGUGCAUGUAGGUAAUGUUAUUUUAACACUCUCUAUGUUCAAAAUCGGACGAUGGAGGGAAGAAGGGAAGUGGCCGUGCUGCAGAUCAUCUCUGAAAGCUGUGUGUGUGUGUGUGUGUGUGUGUG